rnacentral:lncRNA from 1 species
UUUACACGCAGGCUUUUUGUGUCAUCUCUUCCACAUGCUCCAGGAAAGCAGAAGGAUCCAAAGUGGCCCCAAAAGGUUUUAAGAAGUGCCAAACUCCCAGCUGUGCACACGUUUCAUAUUGCUGCUAAAAAGUAAAUAAUUACCAUGUGAGAACCACAGCAACAUUUGAUUCCUGCCCCCCCCCCCCCCCCUCCCACACACACACAUCGUCUUGCUUUGCUCCUGUCUCUCUUCCCUUUUUUCUCCUACUUAGAUCCCAGUCCCAGAGGCUUGUGAUCUGAUUUGUCUUAUGUGACAAAAGGGCUUGAGCCUCAGCAACAAAACCUUUCCCUAGUGAGCAUAACCCAGCAAAGCCUUCUUGUUACUAUGUUUUGCAGGUCAUGGUUUUGCAAGUGCCUAGUGCAGCACAUCCAGGGACAAACCCAUGCCUCAAGCAGCUGGGCAGUAAAGAAGGCCAAGCAAAUCCUUUUCAGAUGCAGCAGCGAGUGCUGCUUCUUCAAUCAGCCUCCCCAGACAUGCACCACUGUCCCUCGGGCUGAAGAAAGAGAAAACCUCUAUAUAACAGUGCAAGGUGGAUUUCCAUUCUGA